GGGCUAGUGCUGGAAUUGGUAGACAGGCAAGUCUCAAAAACUUGUGGUCCCUAAAGGACCGUGUGGGUUCGAUUCCCACCUCGCCCA
rnacentral:tRNA from 1 species